rnacentral:rRNA from 1 species
CGAUGAUACGCGAGGAACCUUACCCGGGCUUGAAAUGCAUCUGACCGGCCUUGAAAGAGGCACUCCCUUCGGGGCAGAUGUGUAGGUGCUGCAUGGUUGUCGUCAGCUCGUGCCGUGAGGUGUCGGCUUAAGUGCCAUAACGAGCGCAACCCUCAUCAUUAGUUACCAUCAGGUAAGGCUGGGGACUCUAAUGAGACUGCCAUCGUAAGAUGUGAGGAAGGUGGGGAUGACGUCAAAUCAGCACGGCCCUUACGUCCGGGGCGACACACGUGUUACAAUGGGUGGUACAAAGGGCAGCUACCUGGCGACAGGAUGCUAAUCUCGAAAACCGCUCUCAGUUCGGAUCGGAGUCUGCAACUCGACUCCGUGAAGCUGGAUUCGCUAGUAAUCGCGCAUCAGCCACGGCGCGGUGAAUACGUUCCCGGGCCUU